UCCCCACAAAUUGUCGAUCUUUAAACAAUUUUCCUAAUUGUGUUACAUUUUUUAUGUACAGAAGUUUAGAGUCCACAGUUUGUCAGAUCAACAAAUUAUUGAUCAUGUACGCUAAAGCCAUCGUUAUCAUUGUCGUUAGCUAAACAAGUUUAUUAUGAGUUAAGUGCUUUAUCAUUCGUUCUUGUUUCAUGUGCUUAUGUAUACAGAGGUGAUCACAUUAAUGCGCCUGAUAUUUAACCAUUGUCUUCGCACCCUUGUCUUACUGACUUGUUCAAGCAGCAAAUUUUGAAAGAGAUUACUCCGACGCCGUGAGAUACGGUUACUUGUGGCCAUAUAAAGCAGCAAAUUUCAUGCUUAAAAUUGAAAUUGAUAGAAAAAUGUGGUUGAAGAGGAUAAACUGCGUAAUUGUACUUUAAAUAUUAUUACAUAGUGUAUUUAAAAAAAAUUAAUGCAAAAUAGAAGAAUGUUGAUGGGGCUAUCAAAUAGAAGAUAAGGAGAGAAAUCUUAUAAUGAAUUGCAAAUAUGUAAAGAGAAAAAAUGAAAUAAGAAAAUGGCUGAGAUAAAUAAUAAAUACGCUUUUCGUUCGUCAGAUGCGCGCAUGCGCAUAAGUGCUCGCAUGUGUAUUCUCUCGUCAUCCAUUUUGCAAAAGUUAAUUUUCUUUAAGUUACAUACGCACGUGCAAACAAAGGCACAUGUACUCAAAGAUCUAUUACUUGUUUUGCAUUUGUGAACGCGCUAGACUGCAAGAGAUUAGUUAAACUGAUAUUGCAAUUUGUUGUAUACUGUGCUGAAAAGCUCGCGACGAAGAGACAUCGUGCUUAAAAAUGAUGUCUGUAUACGAGUGUGUGUGAAACUAGCAUAAGUAGCGUACACUCUCGUUGUACAGAACAAAUUUGCGAGAGUAAAAACAGAAAAUUCUGUUGCUGGAGUUACUUAACAAGUCCUCCAGAUCGGUCUUUACUAGUCCCUGGUCCACCAACCAAGUAACGACGUUUGUACAGUAACGAGGACAAGGGACGGUGGACCUCUGACUACUACGAAGCAAGUGGGAGAGUAUAAGAAAGAUAGAGGGAAAAAAAGAAAGAAAAAGAGGGAGCGCAUUUUUGUGCAUAUGAACAAGAACAACCGAAGAGGGAGAGUAGACGAGAGCUUUUAAGAGAUCCCGUAUAUCCAGAUUGUAGUCGAUGGAUUCACCUGCACUAACAUCCCAGACGAAGAUGUUUAAAAUGCUUGCAAGUGCUUAGUUUGACUUGAAGUGGUGACAUGUUAAAAGAACAUAUAUAUAUACAGUUAAUUUUCACUCAACUGUUUUUUUAUGGAUUUGGUUAUUACUUAACUGACAGUUAAAAUGAUAUAGACAAAAGCUUGUAACUAUUUGAUAUUAAAAUAGUUUGUUCU